rnacentral:rRNA from 1 species
GAUAAACGCUGGCGGCGUGCAUUAUGCAUGCAAGUCGAACGGUUCUGAUUUAUCAGAAUAGUGGCAAACGGGUGAGUAACACGUAAGUAACCUACCCCUAAGUGGGGAAUAACCUCGGGAAACCGAGGCUAAUACCGCAUGUAGUGGUGGAGGUAAGGCUUCACCACCAAAGCCUUCGGGCGCUUGGGGAGGGGCUUGCGGCCGAUUAGCUAGUUGGUAGGGUGACGGCUUACCAAGGUUAUGAUCGGUAGCUGGUCUGAGAGGAUGGUCAGCCACACUGGGACUUAGACACGGCCCAGACUCCUACGGGAGGCAGCAGCAAGGAAUUUUGUGCAAUGGGCGGAAGCCUGACACAGCAACGCCGCGUGGGGGAUGAAGGCUCUCGGGUUGUAAACCCCUUUUCUUAGGGAAGAAUAAUGACGGUACCUGAGGAAUAAGCCUUGGCUAACUACGUG